rnacentral:rRNA from 1 species
ACUCCUACGGGAGGCAGCAGUGGGGAAUAUUGCACAAUGGGCGCAAGCCUGAUGCAGCCAUGCCGCGUGAUGUAGCAAGAAUGGGCCUUCGGGUUGAUGAAAGCACUUUUCAGUUGUGAGGAAGGUGGUGUCGUUAAUAGCGGCAUCAUUUGACGUUAGCAACAGAAGAAGCACCGGCUAACUCCGUGCCAGCAGCCGCGGUAAUACGGAGGGUGCGAGCGUUAAUCGGAAUUACUGGGCGUAAAGCGCAUGCAGGUGGUUUGUUAAGUCAGAUGUGAAAGCCCGGGGCUCAACCUCGGAACUGCAUUUGAAACUGGCAGACUAGAGUACUGGGU